CUCAGGGGCUGUGGGGAAUAACCUCUGGAAACACAUACUCUAUUAUGCUAAUGCUGGACUACAGUCAUCCUGAAAGAAGGGAUUAAAGGCAAAUUAAAUAUUAUCUGAAGGAAACAAAACCAUUUCAACUUUUAUUUUCUACCUCAUCUACAGAAGGUCAUGGAGUCAUCUUCUGGACCCUCUGAAUCCAGUUCCCUUCAUGGAAAAGACAGACCGAUCCACUCACUUUCUAUUUGGUGAGACCUGGUACCAUGGCUCACCUAGUUGAAAGAAAAGAACAAUUCUUCCAAGGAUCGUGACCAAUCAUGCCAGCUAUAUCUCAAAAGAAAACCAGUUGUUAUAAUUGUAUCGAACUUCAAAUUAAAAGAAAGUAAA
rnacentral:lncRNA from 1 species